rnacentral:rRNA from 1 species
UGGGGAAUUUUGCACAAUGGGGGAAACCCUGAUGCAGCGACGCCGCGUGAAUGAUGAAGGCCUUCGGGUUGUAAAGUUCUGUCCUUGGUGAAGAUAAUGACUGUAACCAAGAAGCAAGCCCUGGCUAAAUACGUGCCAGCAGCCGCGGUAAUACGUAUGGGGCAAGCGUUGUCCGGAAUUAUUGGGCGUAAAGGGUACGUAGGCGGUUUACUAAGUCUGAAUUAAAAGGCAGUGGCUCAACCAUUGUAAGGUUUAGAUACUGGUAAACUUGAGUAGAUGAGGGGAAAGUGGAAUUCCAUGUGUAGCGGUGAAAUGCGUAGAUAUAUGGAGGAACACCUGUGGCGAAGGCGACUUUCUGGAAUCUAACUGACGCUGAGGUUCGAAAGCGUGGGUAGCAAACGGGAUUAGAUACCCUGGUAGUCCACGCAGUAAACGAUGAGUGCUAGUUGUCGGGGGUCAAACCUCGGUGACGCAGCUAACGCAUUAAGCACUUCGCCUGGGGAGUACGUACGCAAGUAUG